rnacentral:snoRNA from 1 species
UUUUUUUUCUGGUUCGUAAGCAUGAUUGGUGUUCACACAUUUGUGUGACAUGUGCCUCCUUAAGUCUUGUUAUGCGUCUGGCACAUUGCCCGUCUGAUG